GGCAGGGGGAAUGAGAUAAGAAGGAAGUUGGGUCUGGUAUUUGAGAUCAGGUCUGAACAAGGUCCUGCUCUCUGGUGCUUUCCUGGUUUGAUGGGAAUAUCCUCAGAGUCUCUCCCAGGACCCAGGCAGGAGGUGGACCUUCAUAUCAUCAAAUCAUUCAGUAAACUGAAAAGCCCACUUCACUACUUCCACUCUACUGAGAAAUGCUGAGCUGAGAGCUGGAAGGAUUUUUGGAUGUUUUCCUGACAUUAGGCUGAUGAGU